rnacentral:rRNA from 1 species
AAAUUGAAGAGUUUGAUCAUGGCUCAGAUUGAACGCUGGCGGCAGGCCUAACACAUGCAAGUCGAGCGGUAGCACAGAGAGCUUGCUCUCGGGUGACGAGCGGCGGACGGGUGAGUAAUGUCUGGGAAACUGCCUGAUGGAGGGGGAUAACUACUGGAAACGGUAGCUAAUACCGCAUAAUGUCGCAAGACCAAAGUGGGGGACCUUCGGGCCUCAUGCCAUCAGAUGUGCCCAGAUGGGAUUAGCUAGUAGGUGGGGUAACGGCUCACCUAGGCGACGAUCCCUAGCUGGUCUGAGAGGAUGACCAGCCACACUGGAACUGAGACACGGUCCAGACUCCUACGGGAGGCAGCAGUGGGGAAUAUUGCACAAUGGGCGCAAGCCUGAUGCAGCCAUGCCGCGUGUGUGAAGAAGGCCUUCGGGUUGUAAAGCACUUUCAGCGGGGAGGAAGGCGUUAAGGUUAAUAACCUUGGCGAUUGACGUUACCCGCAGAAGAAGCACCGGCUAACUCCGUGCCAGCAGCCGCGGUAAUACGGAGGGUGCAAGCGUUAAUCGGAAUUACUGGGCGUAAAGCGCACGCAGGCGGUCUGUCAAGUCGGAUGUGAAAUCCCCGGGCUCAACCUGGGAACUGCAUUCGAAACUGGCAGGCUAGAGUCUUGUAGAGGGGGGUAGAAUUCCAGGUGUAGCGGUGAAAUGCGUAGAGAUCUGGAGGAAUACCGGUGGCGAAGGCGGCCCCCUGGACAAAGACUGACGCUCAGGUGCGAAAGCGUGGGGAGCAAACAGGAUUAGAUACCCUGGUAGUCCACGCCGUAAACGAUGUCGAUUUGGAGGUUGUGCCCUUGAGGCGUGGCUUCCGGAGCUAACGCGUUAAAUCGACCGCCUGGGGAGUACGGCCGCAAGGUUAAAACUCAAAUGAAUUGACGGGGGCCCGCACAAGCGGUGGAGCAUGUGGUUUAAUUCGAUGCAACGCGAAGAACCUUACCUGGUCUUGACAUCCACAGAACUUUCCAGAGAUGGAUUGGUGCCUUCGGGAACUGUGAGACAGGUGCUGCAUGGCUGUCGUCAGCUCGUGUUGUGAAAUGUUGGGUUAAGUCCCGCAACGAGCGCAACCCUUAUCCUUUGUUGCCAGCGGUUCGGCCGGGAACUCAAAGGAGACUGCCAGUGAUAAACUGGAGGAAGGUGGGGAUGACGUCAAGUCAUCAUGGCCCUUACGACCAGGGCUACACACGUGCUACAAUGGCAUAUACAAAGAGAAGCGACCUCGCGAGAGCAAGCGGACCUCAUAAAGUAUGUCGUAGUCCGGAUUGGAGUCUGCAACUCGACUCCAUGAAGUCGGAAUCGCUAGUAAUCGUAGAUCAGAAUGCUACGGUGAAUACGUUCCCGGGCCUUGUACACACCGCCCGUCACACCAUGGAAGUGGGUUGCAAAAGAAGUAGGUAGCUUAACCUUCGGGAGGGCGCUUACCACUUUGUGAUUCAUGACUGGGGUGAAGUCGUAACAAGGUAACCGUAGGGGAACCUGCGGUUGGAUCACCUCCUUA